GAUGAACGCUGACAGAAUGCUUAACACAUGCAAGUCUACUUGAAUUUGGGUUUUUUCCCUUAGAUUUGGGUGGCGGACGGGUGAGUAACGCGUAAAGAACUUGCCUCACAGCUAGGGACAACAUUUGGAAACGAAUGCUAAUACCUGAUAUUAUGAUUAUAAGGCAUCUUAGAAUUAUGAAAGCUAUAUGCGCUGUGAGAGAGCUUUGCGUCCCAUUAGCUAGUUGGAGAGGUAACGGCUCACCAAGGCGAUGAUGGGUAGCCGGCCUGAGAGGGUGAACGGCCACAAGGGGACUGAGACACGGCCCUUACUCCUACGGGAGGCAGCGGUGGGGAAUAUUGGACAAUGGACCAAGAGUCUGAUCCAGCAAUUCUGUGUGCACGAUGACGUUUUUCGGAAUGUAAAGUGCUUUCAGUUGGGAAGAAAAAAAUGACGGUACCAACAGAAGAAGUGACGGCUAAAUACGUG
rnacentral:rRNA from 1 species